CCCACUUGUGCCCAACCGUCUGUCGAGAUCUCUGGGAAGUAGAGCUUUAGAAGACGUGGUGACUAAUAUAAUGGUUGGUGGUUAGACCGGUGAUAGAGGAAUUGGCCAGCUGUUUCUAUCUUUGGAAAGGUCGUAUGGAUUUCUUUUGGGCUGCCUUGGAUUUUGAUUACUGUGGAGUUGAGUUGGAUUUUCUAAAAAUGGGUUGUUGAUGGUGGUUGGCUGCAUGACACAAGGCUAUGUCGAUGAGGGAAAGUUUUGGAGAUUCGCGAAGAGGAAGGUUCCUUCGGUAGAGAACUUACGAUUUGCAUCGGAGCAGUUGGAGUGGGUACUGUGUGUACGGUGUUG
rnacentral:lncRNA from 1 species